rnacentral:rRNA from 1 species
GAUGAACGCUGGCGGCGUGCCUAAUACAUGCCAGUCGAGCGAACGGACGAGAAGCUUGCUUCUCUGAUGUUAGCGGCGGACGGGUGAGUAACACGUGGAUAACCUACCUAUAAGACUGGGAUAACUUCGGGAAACCGUAGCUAAUACCGGAUAAUAUUUUGAACCGCAUGGUUCAAAAGUGAAAGACGGUCUUGCUGUCACUUAUAGAUGGAUCCGCGCUGCAUUAGCUAGUUGGUAAGGUAACGGCUUACCAAGGCAACGAUGCAUAGCCGGCCUGAGAGGGUGAUCGGCCACACUGGAACUGAGACACGGUCCAGACUCCUACGGGAGGCAGCAGUAGGGAAUCUUCCGCAAUGGGCGAAAGCCUGACGGAGCAACGCCGCGUGAGUGAUGAAGGUCUUCGGAUCGUAAAACUCUGUUAUUAGGGAAGAACAUAUGUGUAAGUAACUGUGCACAUCUUGACGGUACCUAAUCAGAAAGCCACGGCUAACUACGUG